rnacentral:rRNA from 1 species
ACAUAUACAGAGUACCUGUAACAAGCCUGAUCCCAUAUGAUCUCAGAAGCUAAGCAGGGUCGGGCCUGGUUAGUACUUGGAUGGGAGACCACCUAGGAAGACCAGGUGCUGUAGGCG